ensembl:lncRNA
UCAGUCCAGGAAGACUCCCCAGUCAGUCAAGUAGGAGGAGUCUAUCCAUUACAUCAGUCCAGGAAGACUCCCCCAGUCAAACAAGUAGGAGGAGUCUAUCCAUUACAUCAGUCCAGGAAGACUCCCCCAGUCAGUCAGGUAGGAGGAGUCUAUCCAUUACAUCAGUCAUGUAGGAGGAGUCUAUCCAUUACAUCAGUCCAGGAAGACUCCCCCAGUCAGUCAGGUAGGAGGAGUCUAUCCAUUACAUCAGUCCAGGAAGACUCCCCCAGUCAGUCAGGUAGGAGGAGUCUAUCCAUUACAUCAGUCAGGUAGGAGGAGUCUAUCCAUUACAUCAGUCCAGGAAGACUCCCCCCAGUCAGUCAGGUAGGAGGAGUCUAUCCAUUACAUCAGUCCAGGAAGACUCCCCGAGUCAGUCAGGUAGGAGGAGGGCGUAGUGGUGAAACCCCAUCAAAGCCAGUUCAGCACAGCAGCAAUGGAGGACAGUGGUGAGUAUGUAUGAGACAGUAUGGAUGCACAUGUGUGUUCCUUACAAUACGUUCUUGUGUCUCUGUAUACUGUUGAUGGAUAAAGUUCUCCACAUCCUGCUGUGUGUGUGUGUGUGUGUGUGUGUGUGUGUGUGUGUGUG